CAGCGGUCCGGCCGGGAACUCAAAGGAGACUGCCAGUGAUAAACUGGAGGAAGGUGGGGAUGACGUCAAGUCAUCAUGGCCCUUACGACCAGGGCUACACACGUGCUACAAUGGCGCAUACAAAGAGAAGCGACUUCGCGAGAGCAAGCGGACCUCAUAAAGUGCGUCGUAGUCCGGAUUGGAGUCUGCAACUCGACUCCAUGAAGUCGGAAUCGCUAGUAAUCGUGGAUCAGAAUGCCACGGUGAAUACGUUCCCGGGCCUUGUACACACCGCCCGUCACACCAUGGGAGUGGGUUGCAAAAGAAGUAGGUAGCUUAACCUUCGGGAGGGCGCUUACCACUUUGUGAUUCAUGACUGGGGUGAAGUCGUAACAAGGUAACCGUAGGGGAACCUGCGGUUGGAUCACCUCCUUA
rnacentral:rRNA from 1 species